AGUGAACGCUGGCGGUAGGCCUAACACAUGCAAGUCGAACGGCAGCACAGUAAGAGCUUGCUCUUACGGGUGGCGAGUGGCGGACGGGUGAGGAAUACAUCGGAAUCUACUUUUUCGUGGGGGAUAACGUAGGGAAACUUACGCUACUACCGCAUACGACCUACGGGUGAAAGCAGGGGAUCUUCGGACCUUGCGCGAUUGAAUGAGCCGAUGUCGGAUUAGCUAGUUGGCGGGGUAAAGGCCCACCAAGGCGACGAUCCGUAGCUGGUCUGAGAGGAUGAUCAGCCACACUGGAACUGAGACACGGUCCAGACUCCUACGGGAGGCAGCAGUGGGGAAUAUUGGACAAUGGGGGCAAGCCUGAUCCAGCCAUACCGCGUGGGUGAAGAAGGCCUUCGGGUUGUAAAGCCCUUUUGUUGGGAAAGAAAAGCAGCAGGUUAAUACCAUGCUGUUCUGACGGUACCCAAAGAAUAAGCACCGGCUAACUUCGUG
rnacentral:rRNA from 1 species